rnacentral:rRNA from 1 species
UACGUAGGGGGCAAGCGUUGUCCGGAUCUAUUGGGCGUAAAGAGCGUGUAGGCGGUUAUACAGGUCCGCUGUGAAAACUGGAGGCUUAACCUCCAGACGUCGGUGGAAACCGUAUGACUAGAGUCCGGAAGAGGAGAGUGGAAUUCCUGGUGUAGCGGUGAAAUGCGCAGAUAUCAGGAAGAACACCCGUGGCGAAGGCGGCUCUCUGGGACGGUACUGACGCUGAGACGCGAAAGCGUGGGGAGCGAACAGG